ensembl:lncRNA
GGUGAAGGAGGGGUUGAGGUCAGGAGGAGAGGACAGCGAUGUGUUGAUACAGGGAGACAGAUGGACAUCUGUGGAUUAGGUGAAGGAGGGGUUGAGGUCAGGAGGAGAGGAGAGCGAUGUGUUGAUACAGGGAGACAGAUGGACAUCUGGGUAUUAGGUGAAGGAGGGGUUGAGGUCAGGAGGUGAGGACAGAGAUGUGUUGAUACAUGGGGAGACAGAUGGACAUCUGUGGAUUAGGUGAAGGAGGGGUUGAGGUCAGGAGGUGAGGACAGAGAUGUGUUGAUACAUGGGGAGACAGAUGGACAUCUGUGGAUUAGGUGAAGGAGGGGUUGAGGUCAGGAGGUGA